CUGCCUUUACAGGCAAUUCUGCAUUCGCCUCAGGCAAAUGGCCAGGUUAUCACGCGCAUUUUAAAGAAACACGAUUGGUGUCCCAAAAUGCGGACGAGACAAGGAGAUGUAUGGAUAUUUAUGGUCUGAAUUCACGUAUACUUCGAAACGUCAAAUGAGGCUCUUGAACCGAUGGAAUCACCGGACUUUCCAAGACUAGGAUAUCAAUCCGACUUCUUCAAUCUUCAGGAACACAUCCACCAUGUCCGUCAGGUUCUGCAGAGGCUUUGGGAGAACAAACUACUCAUAAAAGCCAAGAAGUGUGAAUUUGACGUUCCUUCAGUCAGUUUCUUAAGACGACCGGUCAAACUGAGCAAGCUAGCCAGGAUUUGGAAGUAGCACUGUGCUGCAUAACCGCCAACAACUCGUCUGCCUGGAGCACCCAUCUGGCUUGGGUUGAGUACGCCCACAACUCCCUGGUCAGCACUGCCACCGGAAUGUCUCACUUUGAAUGCUCCCUUGGUCACCAACACCCUCUGUUCUCCACUCAUGAAGAUGACAUUGCUGUGCCUUCUGUUCAGGCCCAUCUCUGCUGGUGCCACAAGAUCUGGAAAGACACCCGCGUGGCCCUGCUCUGCUCAACUGACCAUAACCGAAGGAUUGCCAAUCGUCAUUGGAUUCCUGCACCAGAUUGUCAGCCUGGGCAGAAAGUUUGACUCUCUUCUAAAAAUGUCUCUCUCAAGAAUGAGCCCAAGAAACUCGCACCCCGUUUCCUGGGACCAUUCGAGAUUGAGAGCAUUAUCAACCCCUCAGCGGUCCGACACAAACUACCCAAAUCUAUGCACAUCCAUCCUACAUUCCAUGUUUCCCAGUUGUAGCCAGUAUUUGUCAGCCCUUUGUGCCCUCCUGCUGAACGCUCCUCCACCCACCCAGAUCAUUGACAACCACCCAGCGUACACCAUCUGGUGAGUACUAGAUGUGUGCCACCGAGUCAGGGGUCUCUAGAGCCUGGUCAGUUGGGAGGGAUAUGGCCCAGAGGAACAUUCCUGGAUUCCCCACUCCUUCAUCUUGGACCCUUCCCUCAUCUGGGAUUUCCAUCGGGACCAUCCGGACGAGCCUGGUGGGUCGCCUGGAGGCUCCUGUUUUGGGGGGUGUGGUAAUGUCAUGCUCCCGAUCAUUAAUUUCCUAGCUUGCUCCUAAUUUACUUUGAUUAUGCCUUGAUUCCGACUGUUUAAUUUCCCAUUUGCUGCCAAUUCCCUUUGAUGACGGCACACCUGGAACUGCAGUAUAAGAACCCCAGUGUCACACCACUAGUCACCAGCUCGUUGGUCUAUUCCCAUGUGAUAACUUCAUUUCCCUACCACUUAGAACCAUUAAUUCUAAGUUCAGCUCCAGUUUCAAGAUAAUCCAUGAAAACCCUGUCUCCACGUCAAGACUCCAUAUCAGAGCUCUGUGUCAAGAUUCCUCCGGUUUGCUGUUCCACGUUCACGUCUGUGCCAGCAUCCCCAACUCAGUCUCCGUGCCAGUGUCCUGCACUUGGGUUCUCAAUAGACAAUAAACAAUAGGUGCAGAAGUAGACCAUUCGGCACUUCGAGCCUGUACCGCCAUUCUGAGAUCAUGGCUGAUCAUCUACUAUCAAUACCCGG